rnacentral:rRNA from 1 species
GAUGAACGCUAGCUACAGGCUUAACACAUGCAAGUCGAGGGGAAACGACAUCGAAAGCUUGCUUUUGAUGGGCGUCGACCGGCGCACGGGUGAGUAACGCGUAUCCAACCUGCCCAUCACUUGGGAAUAACCUUGCGAAAGUAAGACUAAUACCCAAUGAUAUCCCACGAAGGCAUCGGAAUGGGAUUAAAGAUUUAUCGGUGAUGGAUGGGGAUGCGUCUGAUUAGCUUGUUGGCGGGGUAACGGCCCACCAAGGCAACGAUUAGUAGGGGUUCUGAGAGGAAGGUCCCCCACAUUGGAACUGAGACACGGUCCAAACUCCUACGGGAGGCAGCAGUGAGGAAUAUUGGUCAAUGGGCGAGAGCCUGAACCAGCCAAGUAGCGUGCAGGAAGACGGCCCUAUGGGUUGUAAACUGCUUUUAUAAGGGAAUAAAGUGGGUCACGUGUGACUUUUUGCAUGUACCUUAUGAAUAAGGACCGGCUAAUUCCGUG